rnacentral:rRNA from 1 species
CCUACGGGGGGCAGCAGUCGAGAAUCAUUCACAAUGGGGGAAACCCUGAUGGUGCGACGCCGCGUGGGGGAAUGAAGGUCUUCGGAUUGUAAACCCCUGUCAUGUGGGAGCAAAUUAAAAAGAUAGUACCACAAGAGGAAGAGACGGCUAACUCUGUGCCAGCAGCCGCGGUAAUACAGAGGUCUCAAGCGUUGUUCGGAAUCACUGGGCGUAAAGCGUGCGUAGGCUGUUUCGUAAGUCGUGUGUGAAAGGCGCGGGCUCAACCCGCGGACGGAACAUGAUACUGCGAGACUAGAGUAAGGGAGGGGGAACCGGAAUGCUCGGUGUAGCAGUGAAAUGCGUAGAUAUCGAGAGGAACACUCGUGGCGAAGGCGGGUUCCUGGACAUUAACUGACGCUGAGGCACGAAGGCCAGGGGAGCGAAAGGGAUUAGAUACCCUAGUAGUC